ensembl:lncRNA
GAGCUUCUGACGCUGUCAACCUCGAAGCAGCCUCUACCAAGGCCACCAUCAAAGCGGUCUCUGACGCCGUCAACGCAGCCUUUGGAGCUUCCACCCUUGAAGCUAUCUCCGCCGCCCUCGAAGCUGCCUAUGCAGCAUUGGAAAGAUUUUCUGUCACACCCAAAGAAGCCUCUGGCGCUGCCUUGCUCGAUGCAGCUUCUAUUGCCAUCGAUGCAGCCUCUGCCACCCUCGAAGCAGCCUCUGAUGCUGCCGCCUCCGAGGUCGUCGCUGCUGCCCCAGAUGUAGCCUCCGUCGCUACCACUCCCAAAGCAGCCUCUGCCUCCCCCGAAGCAGCCUCUGACGCUGCCGCCCCAGAAGCAGCCUCUGACGCUGCCGCCCCUGAAGUAGCCUCCGUUGCUACCGCCCCAGAAGCAGCCUCUGACGCUGCCGCCUCCGAGGUCGUCGCUGCUGCCCCAGAUGUAGCCUCCGUCGCUACCACUCCCAAAGCAGCCUCUGCCUCCCCCGAAGCAGCCUCUGACGCUGCCGCCCCUGAAGUAGCCUCCGUUGCUACCGCCCCAGAAGCAGCCUCUGACGCUGCCGCCUCCGAGGUCGUCUCUGCUGCCCCAGAUGUAGCCUCCGUCGCUACCACUCCCAAAGCAGCCUCUGCCUCUCCCGAAGCAGCUUCUGAUGCUGCCACCACCGAAGCAGCCUCUUACGCUGCCGCCCCCGAUGUAGCCUCUGUCGCUACCACCCCAGAAGCAGCCUCUGACGCUGCCGGCCCCGACGUAGUCUCUGUUGCUAGCAACCCCGAAGCAGCCUCUGUCGCUGCUGUCCCUGAAGCAGCCUCUGAUGCCACUGACGUAGCCUCCGUCGCUACCGCUCCCGAAGCACCCACUGCUGCCCCCGACGUAGCCUCUGUUGCUAGCAACCCCGAAGCAGCCUCUGUCGCUGCUGUCCCUGAAGCAGUCUCUGAAGAAAUUGCUGAUGGUGACGCCACUGAGGCCUACGCCACAGCAGAACCAGCCGCCGCAGAUCAAGCCGCCGCUCUCCCUGCAGACCGAGCCGUCGCUCACCCUGCAGACCCGGCCGUCGCUGACCCUGCAGACCCGGCCGUCGCUGACCCUGCAGAACCAGCCGCCGCAGAUCAAGCCGCCGCUCUCCCUGCAGACCGAGCCGUCGCUCACCCUGCAGACCCGGCCGUCGCUGACCCUGCAGACCCGGCCGUCGCUGACCCUGCAGACCCAGCCGACGCUCACCCAGCUUGUGCGUACCCUACAGCCAGCGCUGCCGACCCGGACCCCGCAGCCACCGCUGCCGACCCGCACCCCGCAGCUGACCCGGACCCUGCUGCCACAGCUGCCAACCAAGAUCCUCCAGCAUCCGUUUCCGAUGCAGGCCCAGCAGCACCCUCUGCCGAGACCGGUCCAGCAGCACCUUCUGAUGGCGUCGCUGCUGAGGGCUCUGCUGUUCCAAGCGCCCCUGGCCGGAGUGCCCCUGUCCCGAGCGCCCCUGGUCGGAGUGCCCCUGUCCCAGGCUCCCCUGUCCCGAGCGUCCCAGGCGCCCCUGUCCCGAGCGUCUCAGGCGCCCCGGUCCCGAGCGUCCCAGGCGUCCCGGUCCCGAGCGUCUCCGGCGUUCCUGUCCAAGGUGUCCUUGCGCCGGUUCCAGGCGUCCAUGCGCCGGCCCCAGGCGCUCCGGACCCUGUCUCCAGUGUUCCUGGGUUCCCUGUCCCAGCUGCAGCAGACCCAGGGUUCGGUGCCGCCAGCCCUAAUGAACCAGCGAGUCCAGGUGCCACGUCUACCCCAGCCACUGGCCCUGCAACCCCAAACACCAAUCGAUAUCGCUGGCAUCUAUUUGUUGUGAGGGUUAUUGUUGUGUUUAUUGUUGGUCUGUUUGGCCGGUCGCCAAAGACUCUGCCCCUGUUUGGCCACCCACCCGG